GCGCGAGUGGUGGAAUUGGUAGACACGCAGGUUUUAGGUACCUGUGCCUUCGGGCGUAGGGGUUCAAGUCCCCUCUUGCGCA
rfam:Arthrobacter sp. PAMC25486, complete genome.